UUUUUUAUAAAUCUCCUCAUCUUCUCAACAGCAGCAGCUGAAAAACAUCCUCUGUCCCUCAGUGUCGCAGUUGGAGAUGAAGUCACGUUGCUUUGUGAAAAUGUGAUAGACGAUCAGCAAAACUGUGACAAUACCGACUGGUACUUCCGUUAUUCAAGAUACCUAGCAGUGCUGUUUGAAAAUGGAAAGAUACACAAUGACAGCAGAGCUAAAUCAGACAGACUGAGUCUUACAGCGAACUGUUCUCUGGUUAUAAAGAAGGUCACAGUUGAGGAUGCUGGUCGUUACAGCUGCAGACAGUUCAACAAAUCAGGAUAUCAACAAGGUCGAGACUCUGAGGUUUAUCUGUCUGUUAUUAGCAUGACUGAACAUAAAGAGACUGAUUUGGUGACAUUAGGCUGCUCUGUGUCGACGUUUGGACGAUGCAGACACACAGUGAGGUGGCUGUUUAAUGGUCAAGAUUGGGAUCGACAUAACAGAAAUGUGAAGACAGAUCAGCCUUCGUGCUACGCCUCUUUGAACUUUCUGACCUUUUGUUACAAUAAUGCAUCAAACUAUAACUUACUGAAGUGUGAAGUGAAAGACCCUGGACCCUCAGGUGAGGACAUAACAACAACAACAACAACAAAACCACCACCACCAACAACGACAACGACAACAACAAUAACAACAAAACCACCAACAACGACAAAUCCAACUGUAAUCAAUAACACUUCAACAAAUCCAAAAGGUAGAGACUCACAAUUUUUAUUUCCUAAAUGACAGCAAAGUCGUGCAGGAAGAGGAACUUUUAGUCACUGACUGACUCUCUGCGUGUCUGAUGUUGUUUCAUUAGUAAAUGGUUGAAUGUUGACAAAUCUAUGUCCGUUUCAUUCGACCUAAUGAGAGAAGCAAAGAAAGGUUGAAGAAAUGUCUCAACCUCCAACGGUGUAAUCAUUAGAUAAAACUAUUAAAUGAAUCAAUUGAAAUUCUCUUGUAAUCCUCUUCUAUUGUAGUUACAUUAUUGUGGACGGUUAAUAAUAUGUAAAACACAACUCUUUAAUCUUUAGUCUUCAAUUUAAUGAUUUUUAAUGAAUUAAAUGUUCACAGCACAAUAAAGUUUCUUGAAAGUAUCCAAAACAUUUCAAAUGCACAUUAACGAGACUAGGUUAACAUGCUAACAUUUCCUGAUUAGUGCUAAGCACAAAAUACAGCUGAAGCUUAUAAAAUAAAUAAAUAAAUAUCAUUUUGUCCCGAUGAUGGCACUACUUGGAAAUUCGGGGAAUCAUCAAAGUUGUUACAGUUUCAUCCUGAGGGGGGAACAUGAAUGUGUGUAGAAACUUUCAGGCAAAAAGUUGUUGAGGCAUUUGAUUAAAGAUAAAAAAUAUUAACCUGAUGGUAGUUUAUUACUUUAAUUACUAAACACUAAUGAUUUAUUUGUACUUCAAAUAACAAAUAAACAUUUCAUUGUAUUUUUAAUAACACAUCUUUAUACAGAAACAGAAAUUAGGUAACACUUUAUGUUAAAGUAUUCACCAUUACUAGUUACUUUUUAGCAUGCAUAUUAG
rnacentral:lncRNA from 15 species